GGUCAACUCUUAACCUAAUCGGGUCAAGCCCAACUGAAUCCAAUUCAAUUGGACUUGAUCCAAAAAUAAUUACUCAAUCAAAUUGAGUUAAUUAGAGAUCAAAUCACUAAUUAAAUCUCUCAUAAAUAUAGAGUCUAAAUCCGAUGGGUAAUCGGGCAUCAGAAUUGAUCGAUAUGUAAUCCUGAUCGAAGAGUCCCAAACCAGUGGGACUCUUGACCCCGAUACCCAAAAUGUGUGGGAC
rnacentral:lncRNA from 1 species